rnacentral:rRNA from 1 species
AUGCUUGAGGAGAUGUCUGCUCUCGACAAGAAUAAUACAUGGGUAAUUACUCCACUUCCUUGUAACAAGAAAGUGGUAGGUUGCAAAUGGGUGUUUACCAUAAAACAUACACCCGAAGGGAAAGUAGAUAGAUAUAAGGCGAGACUUGUGGCGAAAGGUUAUAGCCAGACAUAUGGAGUGGACUAUGAUGAAACCUUCGCCCCAGUUGCAAAGAUGAACACCAUCAGAGCUUUAAUCUCGGUGGCAGCAAAUAACAAGUGGAAGUUGUUUCAGCUAGAUGUGAAGAAUGCAUUUCUUCAUGGAGAUUUGAAAGAAGAAGUUUAUAUGGAGAUUCCACCAGGGUUCAGUGGGCCUGAGACAAUGGGUAAAGUGUGUAGAUUGAAGAAAUCACUUUAUGGACUUAAACAGUCACCAAGGGCUUGGUUUGGGAGAUUUCGCAAGGAAGUAUGCACUUUGGGUUUUCGACAAAGCAAUGCUGACCAUACCCUUUUCUUUAAGCACCACGGAAAUAAAACUGUCGUAUUGGUCGUAUAUGUUGAUGACAUUGUGAUCACAGGGAAUGAUGAUGUGGAGAUAAAGAACUUGAAGAAAAUGUUGGCGAAAUCAUUUGAAGUCAAAGACCUUGGCUUCCUCCACUUCUUCCUGGGAAUAGAAGUAGCUUAUGGAGCUCAAGCCAAUUCAGGAGAACCUGUUGAUAGGGGGAGAUACCAGAGACUUGUGGGACGUUUAAUUUAUCUAUCCCAUACUAGACCAGACAUUGCAUAUGCCGUGAGCCUGGUGAGUAGAUAUAUGCAUGAUCCUCGAUCAGGUCAUCUAGAUGCAGUAAAUAGAAUUCUGCGGUAUCUCAAAGGUUGUCCUGGAAAAGGAAUUCUCCUUUCCAACCAUGGGCAUCUAGAAGUUGAGGGAUACACAGACGCUGAUUGGGCUGGGUGCUUGGAUGACAGGAGAUCCACUUCAGGUUAUUGCGUCUUCUUGGGAGGAAAUUUAGUCAGUUGGAGGAGUAAGAAGCAAAGUGUUGUCGCCAGAUCCACGGCAGAAGCAGAGCUGCGAUCCAUGGCUUCAGGGCUAUGUGAGUUGUUAUGGCUUCGAUUAUUAUUAACUGAACUUCGGUUGUUUAAAGGAGGACCACUCAGGCUCCAUUGUGAUAAUCAAGCCGCAAUCAACAUUGUCAACAAUCCGGUUCAGCAUGAUAGAACAAAACAUAUCGAAAUUGAUAGACAUUUUAUUAAGGAGAAACUUGAUGAGGGAGUACUUCAAGUAGGUUUUGUUAAAACCGGAGACCAACUUGCUGAUGUAUUAACAAAGGGCGUGAGUGUUGUAUCCUUCUUUAAGUUGUGUGGCAAGAUGGGGCUCUUAGACAUUUUCACCCCAUCUUGA